GGAUGUCCAGAUCUUGAAACUCGAAGCUCAAGUCCAUGAAUUGGGAGAGUAAAAUGAAGAUCUCUCAACCCACUUGAAGAAGGAGUCGAUGGACAGACUGAAAGAGGAGGAAGAAGAUUUGGAAUUGGAACAAGAUUCAGUGGAACACACAUUAGAUAAUGCAGCAAAUGAUCAAUUGGAUGGGCCAGAAGAAAUAGUAAUUUUAUAGAGUUUUAUUAAGUAGUUUUUAGAUAGGUAACAAUUGUGUGUUUGCGAGGACGCUGCACAGAUAGGAGUGAGGCUAUGUAGAAUAGAUAUUAGUUUGUUUUUGUAAGAUAUUGAUAAAAUAGACUAAUAGUCCAUAGAAUAGUCAAUUCAGGAGGACGAAUGGUUAAAUCAGUUAUUAAAAGCGGUUAUUAUUCGAUUAUGAUUAGAAUCUAGAAAUCAGUAGCAAUUAUAUAGGAAUUGUAGAAGUUAGUUUGAGGGGCCAGAUUGUAAUAGUCAUGAGUAGUGGUUAAACUUGGUGCUACCUCUUUAUUUUUUUUGUUGUUGAAUAGUAAUGGAUAGUUUUUGAAUACUCAGAAGUGAGUUUGUGGAAUAAAUCAGAGAUUGAUUUAUGAGUUAUUGAUUAUAUAAUUGGAGUAUUAUGUGAUUGAAUUAUAUGAGAAGUUAUUAGAAGAUUGAUUAUGAUUGGAAGAUUAUAAUUGUUGUUUAUCGAGAGUUGUGUAUAUUUUGGACAGAGGAAGUCUAUGAUUAUAGAAAUUAUGUGGAUUUAGAUUGGUUGAAGUGAAGUCUGUUUUUUUGGUAUUGGAUGGGAAUUAUUGUAUUUUGAGCAAUCUUUUGAGAGUGCAGAGUUGCACAUUGUGGUUAUCAAUUGAUGAAGGAGUAUUGUUCCUGGAAGAAAGCAUUGUAGUAUUUCUUGGUGUUUUAGUGG
rnacentral:lncRNA from 1 species